GGGGGGGGGGGUACCAGCGAGGAUAACAUUACCUUCCUACCGAAAUCUAAAUUCAUCGUUUGCUGGUUUGAUGGGGCUUAUCACACAGGGAGGGGCAGUUUUGAUCUGUGAGUUGAAGUUGGACAACUUUUUUGGUGGAGGAUACCUACCCUUUUUCUCUGGUUUUGAAGUAUCUGUGUUAAGUUUUGAAGAACUGGAUUUCGGAGGUUUCGAUAGUAGCCUCUGUCUGUGUCUUGCUGUGCACGCAUUCCAAUGCCCAUGGAUUUUCAAAUAAUGAUGUGCACCUUCCCGAUUCAGCUAGGAUUAGUCUCAUCAAUUUGGCAGCGUUAAGAGAAAAGACAAGCACCGGAGGAAAGUUCCAAUUUGAAGUGCGACAAGAGCUUCCAAAAUUGCUCACUGCUCGAUUUAGGUGGUAAAACAGUCAAAAAAUUGAAUGGUCAUUGAAAAUCUCUACAAAUGGCUCCGUUAAUAGAAGGAUUUAAUUAUUCGUAUCAAGAUAAUAACGACUUCAGCAUGAGUGAAAUGUUGACACAAGAGAGCAUCAACGCUACAUACUGGCUGCUUCGGUGUAAUGAAACUGAAGGUUUUUCAGCGGACAGUGAUGAUUGCAAACAACAAGAUCAGAUUUACGAUUUUCAAAUUAUCAAAGUAAUAGUCUUGAUUGUAAUAGUUAUAAUUGUACUAUUAGCAAUUUGUAGGAUGGUUUUUGGUUUAUUUGUUCAUUAUUCGGUGAGUGAAAGUGCUGAUAGGUGAUCGUUACUAUAGCUACAUAAUUCACUAAAAAAUUGCAAUUAAACCUAGAGGAAAAUUCAAGUUUCAGUGUCACCGAAUUUGACUGAAUCUUCAAGGAAAAAUCAAAUGAGAACAACCUACAGUUUGGUAAAAAAAUAUGAUUCAUAAAUCUUCCUGAGGCAAAUACAAAUUUUACAGUUGUAAAAUACCGAUAAAUGAAGCGAGAAAAAUCUAGAGAAUAAGUCGGUUUAGACUGAUUGAUCUUCUAAAUUAUUUCCAAGUUCAAUCAGACUACCUUCAUGAAAACCUUGUAAUACUUCAUUUAUGAAAUUGAAAUUAAAUAUAUUACAACGUGAAAUUCUUGAA